rnacentral:rRNA from 1 species
GUGAACGUUACCAAACUGUUGCCUCGGCGGGAUCUCUGCCCCGGGUGCGUCGCAGCCCCGGACCAAGGCGCCCGCCGGAGGACCAACCAAAACUCUUAUUGUAUACCCCCUCGCGGGUUUUUUUAUAAUCUGAGCCUUCUCGGCGCCCCUCGUGGGCGUUUCGAAAAUGAAUCAAAACUUUCAACAACGGAUCUCUUGGUUCUGGCAUCGAUGAAGAACGCAGCGAAAUGCGAUAAGUAAUGUGAAUUGCAGAAUUCAGUGAAUCAUCGAAUCUUUGAACGCACAUUGCGCCCGCCAGUAUUCUGGCGGGCAUGCCUGUCCGAGCGUCAUUUCAACCCUCGAACCCCUCCGGGGGGUCGGCGUUGGGGAUCGGCCCUCCCUCUGCGGGGGCCGUCUCCGAAAUCCAGUGGCGGUCUCGCCGCAGCCUCUCCUGCGCAGUAGUUUGCACACUCGCACCGGGAGCGCGGCGCGUCCACAGCCGUUAAACACCCAACUUUCUGAAAUGUUGACCUCGGAUCAGGUAGGAAUACCCGCUGAACUUAAGCAUAUCAAUAAGCGGA